rnacentral:rRNA from 1 species
UAAGGAAUAUUGGACAAUGGAGGCAACUCUGAUCCAGCCAUGCCGCGUGAAGGAAUAAGGCCCUAUGGGUUGUAAACUUCUUUUAGACGGGACAAAACUCCUUUACGUGUAAAGGGUUGAUGGUACUGUCAGAAUAAGCAUCGGCUAACUUCGUGCCAGCAGCCGCGGUAAUACGAAGGAUGCAAGCGUUAUCCGGAAUUAUUGGGUUUAAAGGGUGCGUAGGCGGACUAAUAAGUCAGUGGUGAAAGCCUGCAGCUUAACUGCAGAAUUGCCAUUGAUACUGUUAGUCUUGAGUACAGUUGAGGUAGGCGGAAUGUGUCAUGUAGCGGUGAAAUGCUUAGAUAUGACACAGAACACCGAUUGCGAAGGCAGCUUGCUAAGCUGUAACUGACGCUGAGGCACGAAAGCGUGGUGAGCAAACA